UCAGCACCACAACGUUGGACAGCAACGACACGAAAAUGAUCCCCAAAACUAACACGGAAGCAGCUAUAUCCGCUGCGUCCAUCGUGACUUUUGAUGAGUGCAUCCACAGUGCUGAUACAAACUGUCAUCGUGACAGACAGGAAACAGGAGGGGGAAUCUAUUUGCUGGAGCACCUAUGGGCCUUGUGGUGGUCAUUUCCUGUUUUGACCAGAGGAGGGCACCCUCUGCUCUCCGUACGCUGCGGCUACUGAACCUGGUGGAGCAGCCCCCUGGAGACCGCGGAUAAUAGACAGCUAACAGGGAUCCGCAGAAUGGGCCUUUCAGCGCUGGCCAGGGCUCAUUGUCUACGCGCCAAUACACCCUCACCCCCCGUUUGGCAACAACGCAGACCCCGAUCAAUCCCCUGCACUGCACCCCCACCAGCCUGCUGACCCCUCCCCAUACACACUCACAUCCCUUGUCACUGCUAAGUAGACAGCAACGUCAAUCAUUGGCAUUACACUGCAUUGCUAAUGGCUGCCAAACAAUUUCACAGGAGAGAAAAGAGUUUUGUUCAGCCAUUUAUCAGGUAAUGGUGACUUGGUUUAAUGCUGUUGCCUCUGACCCCUGAGCAAAAUGUGAUAAUUGGUGUUAUCAUUAUCAGCGUGUCUUUUGUUGCUUUUCCAUGUAUUGUUCUGAUCAAAAUACAGCCAACAUCUGACUGUUUCUGAUUGUGUUCUGUUGUCACCUACCUAAGUGUUUAUACUUAGACUGAGCCAAAAGAAGCGUGAUAUGGUUUGUUUGCAUACUUUGUUGGCAUGCCAAGGUCUGCAUUAAUAUAUAUAAUCUUCAAACAUCCAUCUGGUCCAUAUUUAUUUUAACGUAGGCCUAUGCUCACGAGGCUUACAGUAAUCUUUUAUGAGCAGAUUUGCAUUGACUAUAAAUUUACGGUAGAUCAUGAACCCAACAUGAGUAACGACUUUCAA